UACGGAGGAUGCGAGCGUUAUCCGGAUUUAUUGGGUUUAAAGGGUGCGCAGGCGGCACGGCAAGCCGGCGGUCAAAUCGCGGGGCUCAACCCCGCCCAGCCGUCGGAACUGCCGGGCUAGAGUGGGCGAGAAGUGCGCGGAAUGCGUGGUGUAGCGGUGAAAUGCAUAGAUAUCACGCAGAACUCCGAUUGCGAAGGCAGCGCACCGGCGCCCUACUGACGCUCAGGCACGAAAGCGUAGGUAUCGAACAGG
rnacentral:rRNA from 1 species